CAGUAGCCACGGUAAUGCGUAGGUGGCAAGCGUUGUCCGGAAUUAUUGGGCGUAAAGCGCGCGCAGGCGGAUCGGUCAGUCUGUCUUAAAAGUUCGGGGCUUAACCCCGUGAUGGGAUGGAAACUGCCAAUCUAGAGUAUCGGAGAGGAAAGUGGAAUUCCUAGUGUAGCGGUGAAAUGCGUAGAUAUUAGGAAGAACACCAGUGGCGAAGGCGACUUUCUGGACGAAAACUGACGCUGAGGCGCGAAAGCCAGGGGAGCGAACGGGAUUAGAUACCCGCGUAGUCCCUGUCUCUUAUACC
rnacentral:rRNA from 1 species